rnacentral:rRNA from 1 species
UUGAGACGAGUGGCGAACUGGUGAGUAACACGUGGGUAACCUGCCCUUGAAGUAGGGGAUAACACUUGGAAACAGGUGCUAAUACCGUAUAACAACCAAAACCACCUGGUUUUGGUUUAAAAGACGGCUUCGGCUGUCACUUUAGGAUGGACCCGCGGCGUAUUAGCUUGUUGGUAAGGUAACGGCCUACCAAGGCGAUGAUACGUAGCCGACCUGAGAGGGUAAUCGGCCACAUUGGGACUGAGACACGGCCCAAACUCCUACGGGAGGCAGCAGUAGGGAAUCUUCCACAAUGGACGAAAGUCUGAUGGAGCAACGCCGCGUGAGUGAUGAAGGGUUUCGGCUCGUAAAACUCUGUUGUUGGAGAAGAACAGGUGUCAGAGUAACUGUUGACAUCUUGACGGUAUCCAACCAGAAAGCCACGGCUAACUACGUGCCAGCAGCCGCGGUAAUACGUAGGUGGCAAGCGUUGUCCGGAUUUAUUGGGCGUAAAGCGAGCGCAGGCGGUUUUUUAGGUCUGAUGUGAAAGCCUUCGGCUUAACCGGAGAAGUGCAUCGGAAACCGGGAGACUUGAGUGCAGAAGAGGACAGUGGAACUCCAUGUGUAGCGGUGAAAUGCGUAGAUAUAUGGAAGAACACCAGUGGCGAAGGCGGCUGUCUGGUCUGUAACUGACGCUGAG